rnacentral:rRNA from 1 species
GACGAACGCUGGCGGCAUGCCUAACACAUGCAAGUCGAGCGAGCAGAUCCCUUCGGGGUGAAGCUAGCGGCGGACGGGUGAGUAACACGUGGGCAACCUGCCUCAUAGAGGGGAAUAGCCUUCCGAAAGGAAGAUUAAUACCGCAUAAGAUUGUAGCUUCGCAUGAAGUAGCAAUUAAAGGAGUAAUCCGCUACGAGAUGGGCCCGCGGCGCAUUAGCUAGUUGGUGAGGUAACGGCUCACCAAGGCGACGAUGCGUAGCCGACCUGAGAGGGUGAUCGGCCACAUUGGGACUGAGACACGGCCCAGACUCCUACGGGAGGCAGCAGUGGGGAAUAUUGCACAAUGGGGGAAACCCUGAUGCAGCAAUGCCGCGUGAGUGAUGACGGCCUUCGGGUUGUAAAGCUCUGUCUUCGGGGACGAUAAUGACGGUACCCGAGGAGGAAGCCACGGCUAACUACGUGCCAGCCGCCGCGGUAA